UAUUCUCACGGGCUUCUCUCUCACAUCUCAUCAUGCCGCAUCGUCCCACGCGUCCCUCCGUCCGUGGUCUCACCGGCGACCCCCUCAGUGCAGCACCUUGCCCGGCCGGCUGCCCCUCCGCCAUGCCUUGGCCCCAUCGUCGCCCGAACCGCCACCGUGCCUUGGCCCCAGGAGCCGUCGUGCCCGUGUGCAGCUGUGCUCCUAGUCCGUCGUCGUGCCGCUGUGCCUGGCUCGCGCCUGCCUGUAUUCGCCAACCGCUACGGCGAGGACUAGUGGUUGCUUGAGAUCAGCGCCGGUGGCCUCGUGUGAAGGAUGUCGAUGCCAAAUGGAUUGGCUAGGCGGGCGCUAACCUACCAGACUGAUACACUAUUGCUCUUAUUAUUAGGCACUAGCAUAGCUAAAAUAAUUCUUUUGACCUUGACUUGCCUGGGUGCCUCUUCAAUCUUCAUGUUCAGAAUAGCACUUGUUGUUCAGAAUAGCUCAUCGUCACUAUGUUGUUUGGUUAAAUGUCUACAGGAUUUAGUGGUCAGGUAGAGUGAGUAGGAUUGUGCAAUUAUAUUGUAAGCAGUAACUGUCUAGCUGGUGGUGAGCAUCAUUGAAACUCUAUCCCUUCAGGAACGAUCGUGGAUGGGGGAUGCUGAACCUGGUAGCUGGCCUUCUAGAGAGCACAACUACAAUUAUCAGCGGCUCUAGGCAACCGUUUGUCAUGGAGACAGUGAAAGCUGACGAUGCUGCAAAACUGGGUUUGAUAUCAGGUAAACAUCUGCUAUUCGACACUUCUAUACAGGAAUUUACAUGGCGUCUGUUUUCCCAUAUUACUAUAUUGGUAAACUAAAGCUACAAAAAUGGAGGCAAGCAUAUUAACUCAUUUAAUGCCACGUUCAUAGGAGGUCUGCUUUUGGAAACAUCUUCAGUGCUAAUUUGAGACAAGCUCCUGCAAGGCAAGCUGCACUGGGCACAGGGAUACCAAACACUGCUGUUUGUGCUUUUUAUGAUUGAGGAAUACUUGAAGAAGCGUACUUGUGGUCUUUAUCUUGUGCUGAGAUGCAUGUUUUUUACCUACCGAACAUUAGACCCCUCCAGCUACCUUGCUGACACAUGAACGAGAAGACGGGUUAGACUUUGUCGAAACCCUCUUCGCUAGUGGAGGUAUCGACCAUCACUCGUCACUGUACCCCGAUGGUGAUCGACGAUCGUGAGCUUCCAUAUUAUGUGUUGUGAUACUUGAGACUUUUAUUAUGACUAUGUAUGAGAUAUUGUCUCUUAUUAGUACAGGAUGAGAUGUGUGUUAUUAUGACUAUGGAUGAGACUUUUGUGAUGUAAUUGACGAGACUAUGGAUUUAAAUAUUGU